rnacentral:rRNA from 1 species
GACAACUCUCAACAACGGAUAUCUUGGCUCCCGUAACGAUGAAGAACGCAGCGAAAUGCGAUACGUAGUGUGAAUUGCAGAAUUCCGUGAACCAUGGAAUCUUUGAACGCAAAUUGCGCUUGAGGCUUCGGCCAAGAGCAUGUCUGGCUCAGCGUCGGCU